AGGAUGAACGCUAGCUACAGGCUUAACACAUGCAAGUCGAGGGGCAGCACAGUGUAGCAAUACAUGGGUGGCGACCGGCGCACGGGUGCGUAACGCGUAUCCAACCUUCCCGUUACUCAGGGAUAGCCUUCCGAAAGGGAGAUUAAUACCUGAUGGUGUUCAAAUUCCGCAUGUUAUUUGAACUAAAGAUUUAUCGGUAACGGAUGGGGGAUGCGUGACAUUAGGUAGAUGGCGGGGUAACGGCCCACCAUGCCUACGAUGUCUAGGGGUUCUGAGAGGAAGGUCCCCCACACUGGAACUGAGACACGGUCCAGACUCCUACGGGAGGCAGCAGUGAGGAAUAUUGGUCAAUGGUCUGACGACUGAACCAGCCAUGCCGCGUGAAGGUCACGGCCCUAUGGGUCUUAAACUUCUUUUGUAAGGGAGCAAUAAGUCUCACGUGUGGGAUGAUGAGAGUACCUUACGAAUAAGCAUCGGCUAACUCCGUG
rnacentral:rRNA from 1 species